rnacentral:rRNA from 1 species
UACAGAGGUCCCGAGCGUUGUUCGGAUUCAUUGGGCGUAAAGGGUGCGUAGGCGGUUUGCUAAGUUUGAUGUGAAAUCCCGGGGCUUAACCCUGGAAUUGCAUUGAAUACUGGCGGACUAGAGUCCUGGAGAGGAAACUGGAAUUUACGGUGUAGCAGUGAAAUGCGUAGAGAUCGUAAGGAAGACCAGUGGCGAAGGCGAGUUUCUGGACAGGUACUGACGCUGAGGCGCGAAAGCUAGGGGAGCGAACGGG